CAAAGUAGAAUUUAAGCCCAAUUGCCUGGAAUAAUGUAAUAAUGUAUUUCAGGUAGUAAUUUCUGUGUAUUUGUCUGUCUUUACAAUAGGAUUUCUGGAUAUUUUUCACCCUCAAAGUAGAAUUUAAGCCUAAUUGCCUGGAAUAAUAUAAUAAUUUAUUUCAGGCAGUAAUUUCUGUGUAUUUGCCUGUCUUUACAAUAGGAUUUCUGGAUAUUUUUCACCCUCAAAGUAGAAUUUAAGCCCAAUUGCCUGGAAUAAUGUAAUAAUGUAUUUCAGGCAGUAAUUUCUGUGUAUUUGCCUGUCUUUACAAUAGGAUUUCUGGAUAUUUUUCACCCUCAAAGUAGAAUUUAAGCCCAAUUGCCUGGAAUAAUGUAAUAAUGUAUUUCAGGCAGUAAUUUC